rnacentral:rRNA from 1 species
UACGUAGGGCGCAAGCGUUGUCCGGAAUUAUUGGGCGUAAAGAGCUCGUAGGCGGCCACUCAAGUCGAAUGUGAAACCUCGAGGCUUAACCUCGAGCCUGCAUUUGAUACUGGGCGGCUAGAGUCUGGUAGGGGGAUCUGGAAUUCCUGGUGUAGCGGUGAAAUGCGCAGAUAUCAGGAAGAACACCGGUGGCGAAGGCGGGUCUCUGGGCCGAUACUGACGCUGAGGAGCGAAAGCGUGGGGAGCGAACAGG